CGCCUACGGGGGGCAGCAGUGGGGAAUAUUGCACAAUGGGGGAAACCCUGAUGCAGCGACGCCGCGUGAAGGAAGAAGUAUUUCGGUAUGUAAACUUCUAUCAGCAGGGAAGAAAAUGACGGUACCUGACUAAGAAGCCCCGGCUAACUACGUGCCAGCAGCCGCGGUAAUACGUAGGGGGCAAGCGUUAUCCGUAUUUACUGGGUGUAAAGGGAGCGUAGGCGGCGAUGCAAGCCAGAAGUGAAAGCCCGUGGCUCAACUGCGGGACUGCUUUUGAAACUGUGUGGCUAGAUUGUAGGAGAGGU
rnacentral:rRNA from 1 species